GUGCUCGCUUUUGCAGCACAUAUACUAAAAUUGCAACGAUAAAGAGAAGAUUAGCAUGACCCCUGUGCAAGCCAUGUAAAUUAAUGAAGCAUUCCAUAGUUUU